rnacentral:rRNA from 1 species
AUUAAGCAUAUCAAUAAGCGGAGGAAAAGAAACCAACAGGGAUUGCCCUAGUAACGGCGAGUGAAGCGGCAACAGCUCAAAUUUGAAAUCUGGCGCAAGCCCGAGUUGUAAUUUGUAGAGGAUGUUUCUGGCGACGUGCCUUCCGAGUUCCCUGGAACGGGACGCCAUAGAGGGUGAGAGCCCCGUACGGUUGGAUGCCUAGCCUCUGUGAAACUCCUUCGACGAGUCGAGUAGUUUGGGAAUGCUGCUCUAAAUGGGAGGUAUACGUCUUCUAAAGCUAAAUACCGGCCAGAGACCGAUAGCGCACAAGUAGAGUGAUCGAAAGAUGAAAAGCACUUUGAAAAGAGGGUUAAAAAGUACGUGAAAUUGUUGAAAGGGAAGCGUUCAUGACCAGACUUGGGCAGGUUGAUCAUCCGUGGUUCUCCGCGGUGCACUCUGCCUGCCCAGGCCAGCAUCAGUUCGCCCCGGGGGAUAAAGGCUUUGGGAAUGUGGCUCCCUCGGGAGUGUUAUAGCCCACUGUGUAAUACCCUGGGGUGGACUGAGGUUCGCGCUCUGCAAGGAUGCUGGCGUAA